GCAAAGUGUUGUGUGGGUCGGAUGAGUUGAUAACACCAGGAUAGUGGCUUAAAUGUCGGUGCCCAUGAACCUCUAGUGGUUGUUUGUUCCCAUUUCGUCAUACCGAGGGGGUUAUCAUCUGGGGCAGAGGACUGCCCUGCGUGUUUUCGUAUGAAUGAGCUUAACUGUAUAUGAGAGAAUUGGGAGGCCUCUGGUAUGUGGAAUUCC